GGAGAGGUGGCAGAGCGGUUGAAUGCGGCAGUCUUGAAAACUGCUAAGUCCGCAAGGGCUUCGGGGGUUCGAAUCCCUCCCUCUCCG
rnacentral:tRNA from 1 species